rnacentral:rRNA from 1 species
UACGGAGGAUCCAAGCGUUAUCCGGAUUUAUUGGGUUUAAAGGGUGCGUAGGCGGCCUGUUAAGUCAGGGGUGAAAGACGGUAGCUCAACUAUCGCAGUGCCCUUGAUACUGAUGGGCUUGAAUACACUAGAGGUAGGCGGAAUGUGACAAGUAGCGAUGAAAUGCAUAGAUAUGUCACAGAACACCGAUUGCGAAGGCAGCUUACUAUGGUGUCAUUGACGCUGAGGCACGAAAGCGUGGGGAUCAAACAGG